CUUGGGGUUGGCCUAAACUUCUGUUUACUGCCCUGCCGGGCUGCAGAGCUCGCGGGUGGCGCUCACUGACUUAGCCCGAGGCGGGCCGGGUGGCGGCGUCCUGAGCGCUGCCACUGUUGGCUGGAUCGCCCAAGCCCCAGGUGUGCAAGAUACCCUGGAAGUCAGAAGAGGGCAUCACAUGCCCUGGAACUAGAAUUACAGGCAACUGUGAGUCCCCUGUGGUUGCUGGGAGUCAAACCCAGGUCUUCUACAGUAUCAGUGAGUGAUCUUAACUGAUGAGCCAGCUCUCCAUUCCCCUGGGGCAAUAUUACAGUGACCUAUUUAACAAGGAUCGGUUGUAGUCAGGCUUAAAUCUUUGGUUUUGCAUGCACACUUAAAGAGGUAAGCAAUGAAGUCAAUACUUUUAAAAGCCAAUCUUCUCAUUUCUUAAUCCUCUUAAAGAUACAUAUUUUUAUUUUUAAAUUAUGUGUUUGCUUGUAU
ensembl:sense_intronic Gm16076 predicted gene 16076